UUGAUCAUGGCUCAGGACGAACGCUGGCGGCGUGCCUAAUACAUGCAAGUAGAACGCUGAAGUCUGGUGCUUGCACUAGACGGAUGAGUUGCGAACGGGUGAGUAACGCGUAGGUAACCUGCCUCAUAGCGGGGGAUAACUAUUGGAAACGAUAGCUAAUACCGCAUAACAGUAUUUACCGCAUGGUAGAUAUUUGAAAGGAGCAAUUGCUUCACUAUGAGAUGGACCUGCGUUGUAUUAGCUAGUUGGUGAGGUAACGGCUCACCAAGGCUUCGAUACAUAGCCGACCUGAGAGGGUGAUCGGCCACACUGGGACUGAGACACGGCCCAGACUCCUACGGGAGGCAGCAGUAGGGAAUCUUCGGCAAUGGGGGCAACCCUGACCGAGCAACGCCGCGUGAGUGAAGAAGGUUUUCGGAUCGUAAAGCUCUGUUGUAAGGGAAGAACUGUGAGAAGAGUGGAAAGUUUCUCACUUGACGGUAUCUUACCAGAAAGGGACGGCUAACUACGUGCCAGCAGCCGCGGUAAUACGUAGGUCCCGAGCGUUGUCCGGAUUUAUUGGGCGUAAAGCGAGCGCAGGCGGUUUGAUAAGUCUGAAGUAAAAGGCUGUGGCUUAACCAUAGUACGCUUUGGAAACUGUCAAACUUGAGUGCAGAAGGGGAGAGUGGAAUUCCAUGUGUAGCGGUGAAAUGCGUAGAUAUAUGGAGGAACACCGGUGGCGAAAGCGGCUCUCUGGUCUGUAACUGACGCUGAGGCUCGAAAGCGUGGGGAGCGAACAGGAUUAGAUACCCUGGUAGUCCACGCCGUAAACGAUGAGUGCUAGGUGUUGGGUCCUUUCCGGGACUCAGUGCCGCAGCUAACGCAUUAAGCACUCCGCCUGGGGAGUACGACCGCAAGGUUGAAACUCAAAGGAAUUGACGGGGGCCCGCACAAGCGGUGGAGCAUGUGGUUUAAUUCGAAGCAACGCGAAGAACCUUACCAGGUCUUGACAUCCCGAUGACCGCCCUAGAGAUAGGGUUUCUCUUCGGAGCAUCGGUGACAGGUGGUGCAUGGUUGUCGUCAGCUCGUGUCGUGAGAUGUUGGGUUAAGUCCCGCAACGAGCGCAACCCCUAUUGUUAGUUGCCAUCAUUCAGUUGGGCACUCUAGCGAGACUGCCGGUAAUAAACCGGAGGAAGGUGGGGAUGACGUCAAAUCAUCAUGCCCCUUAUGACCUGGGCUACACACGUGCUACAAUGGCUGGUACAACGAGUCGCAAGUCGGUGACGGCAAGCUAAUCUCUUAAAGCCAGUCUCAGUUCGGAUUGUAGGCUGCAACUCGCCUACAUGAAGUCGGAAUCGCUAGUAAUCGCGGAUCAGCACGCCGCGGUGAAUACGUUCCCGGGCCUUGUACACACCGCCCGUCACACCACGAGAGUUUGUAACACCCGAAGUCGGUGAGGUAACCUUUUAGGAGCCAGCCGCCUAAGGUGGGAUAGAUGAUUGGGGUGAAGUCGUAACAAGGUAGCCGUAUCGGAAGGUGCGGCU
rnacentral:rRNA from 1 species